rnacentral:rRNA from 1 species
UACGUAGGGUGCAGGCGUUAAUCGGAAUUACUGGGCGUAAAGCGUGCGCAGGCGGUUUCUUAAGUCAGAUGUGAAAGCCCCGGGCUUAACCUGGGAACUGCGUUUGAAACUGGGAGACUUGAGUGUGGCAGAGGGGGGUGGAAUUCCACGUGUAGCAGUGAAAUGCGUAGAGAUGUGGAGGAACACCGAUGGCGAAGGCAGCCCCCUGGGCCGACACUGACGCUCAUGCACGAAAGCGUGGGGAGCAAACAGG